GGAAUUUUCCGCAAUGGGCGAAAGCCUGACGGAGCAACGCCGCGUGAGGGAUGAAGGCCUCUGGGCUGUAAACCUCUUUUAUCAAGGAAGAAGAUCUGACGGUACUUGAUGAAUAAGCCACGGCUAAUUCCGUGCCAGCAGCCGCGGUAAUACGGGAGUGGCAAGCGUUAUCCGGAAUUAUUGGGCGUAAAGCGUCCGCAGGCGGUCUUGUAAGUCUGUCGUUAAAGCGUGGAGCUUAACUCCAUUUGAGCGAUGGAAACUGCAAGACUAGAGUGUGGUAGGGGCAGAGGGAAUUCCCGGUGUAGCGGUGAAAUGCGUAGAUAUCGGGAAGAACACCAGUGGCGAAGGCGCUCUGCUGGGCCAUAACUGACGCUCAUGGACGAAAGCCAGGGGAGCGAAAGGGAUUAGAUACCCCUGUAGUCCUGGCCGUAAACGAUGAACACUAGGUGUCGGGGGAAUCGACCCCCUCGGUGUCGUAGCCAACGCGUUAAGUGUUCCGCCUGGGGAGUACGCACGCAAGUGUGAAACUCAAAGGAAUUGACGG
rnacentral:rRNA from 1 species